CUCAGGUUUGCUGAGUAGCAAAGAGAAAUUGGGUCUCCUACAAAAGGAAAGUUGUUACUGUGAGGAAUCUGCCUAGGAGCCAUGAGUCUUUAGAGGAGCAACAAAACAUCAAGAAAAUCAACCUAAACAUGGAAAUACAGUUCAGAGGAAGCACCUGUUUUUAUCCUGGAUGAGAAAUUUUCUCUGGAAAUUUUCCAUCAGAAAGUGCAAUUCAACUCAUUUCAAAAGGUAGAAAAUUCUAAUUCUAAUACCCUGAGGAGAGAGGGGGUUUUAAUUAGCCAUGGGACAUCCACGGAAAUCUGUACUCCGGGAAGACUGCACAUGGAUCCUGACACCUCCAGCAAAAAGACAACGUCUGACCUUGUCCCAGAAUUUCUGAGUUUCUCACUGUCUGCCACAAUACCUAAUUCCUAAAAGAGUGGUUUUCAGGAACUCUCACUGGUCCCGUCUUCUUUGCCUAAGUCAUAGUAGUAAAAUUAAUGAAAGCGAGGUGUAUUCAGUAUAUACUAGUUCUACAACUAGUCAUGCAAUUAUUUCUUUCACCUCCUAAAUCUGUGGACUCCUGACUUCAUUAAAUGGUUAAGGAGACCUUAGACCUGACAUGGUGCCCAGGAAGAAUGCAGUGAAGAUUCCUGCUUGUGACUUUAGUACUCUUUAAGCUCAGGAAGAAAACCAGAGCGCCCAGUAUGU
rnacentral:lncRNA from 1 species